UCGCGAGAUUCGGACGUGCGUCUACUUAAAGUGCGUCCGUAUAUGCCUACUUACCUACUAUAUAGUAGGGGAAAAUAGUACGUGAAAUGAGUAGUAUGUCCGAAAUCCUCAGUAAUCAUAAAAGAGUAGUCGAGAAGUUCCCGGAUGGCUUACUGCUCCCGCCCAGAUUCUGAAGUGAUCAUCCGAUGGACACUCUUCUAUCCCAGGAGGCCACGGGAGAAGAUACGUCAUAAUCGAACACGGAGGAGAAAAGCAGCGCGGAUGUUUUUAAAUGGACAGAUGAUCACGUGUGUUUAUCCGGUGGAGAGAGGCUGAUGAAGGAAUGAUGCUGUAAAAGGCUUUGAAGCUUUUGUGGAGCAGGAACUGCAAGGAAAGAUGACGGCGGCAUUUGUGGGGAAAAGAAACCAGCUGGGAUUGAACAGCGUGAAGGGAUGAUCCCCAUGGAGUAACCUGGAGUAAAGUGUCUUGAUCAAGGACAAGACGUUCUCGGAGAUCGAACCAGCAACAUUCUGCUUACCUUUAGCCCACUACACCACUAAAAUAAUAAAGCUGAAACAAAAAAAUGUCAUGUAAUUGUAAAAAUAUUGAAUGAAAUAUGGCAAGAAACAGAAUGCUGACAUGAAUGAAUUGUACAAUGCUUUAAUCUGUUUAUUUAGUUAUGCUGAUGGAGAGCACAUGAAUGUUUGCAGCAGACACAGCAGCAGCCAGAUUGUCCCGCACAUCUUCUCCCACUCUUGCUUCAAGGUUGUGGGGUUCAGGGGUCCAUCAUCAUCUUCCUCAUCCUCUGGGUCAAAGAUGCCCCCAUUGAGAAGAGCAGCAAAGACAGGCAAAGGUGUUCACGGUGGUCAGCUGCUUCAUCAAAAUAAAGCUGCAGAAUUUGCACAGCUGUGUUGAGAUGGCAGCAGGGCUGAAAUAUGUGAUUGUAAGAACAAUACAUUUGAAUAAAACUUUGUUUCAUGCUUUGUUUCAUUUA